GACGAACGCUGGCGGCGUGCUUAACACAUGCAAGUCGAACGGAAAGGCCCUGCUUUUGUGGGGUGCUCGAUUGGCGAACGGGUGAGUAACACGUGAGUAACCUGCCCUUGACUUUGGGAUAACUUCAGGAAACUGGGGCUAAUACCGGAUAGGAUCUCCUGCUGCAUGGUGGGGGUUGGAAAGUUUCGGCGGUUGGGGAUGGACUCGCGGCUUAUCAGCUUGUUGGUGGGGUAGUGGCUUACCAAGGCUUUGACGGGUAGCCGGCCUGAGAGGGGGACCGGCCACAAUGGGACUGAGAUACGGACCAGAAUGCUACGGGAGGCAGCAGUGGGGAAUAUUGCACAAUGGGCGGAAGCCUGAUGCAGCAACGCCGCGUGCGGGAUGACGGCCUUCGGGUUGUAAACCGCUUUCGCCUGUGACGAAGCGUGAGUGACGGUAAUGGGUAAAGAAGCAACGGCUAACUACGUG
rnacentral:rRNA from 1 species